UGGAGAAUCCAGCUCAGACCCAGGAGAAAUGCCACAAUGUUGAAAGGAAUGCAUUACAGUUCCCACAAACACACACCCCUCCCUGCAACCACUACAAGAUAUGCAAGGAACUCUGAGCUGACUUGGAUCUAAUUCUUCCCAAUUCAUGCCACAAGCCCAACUCAUCAGCUGAUACCUGAGGAUGAUCCACUGCUCACUGAGCGUGGUCAGGGAGCGCCGCUGUCGGACGAGCAUCUUCAUCAAAUGUGCUGAGAACCCUCUGCACCUCUCCACGUUGCCCAUGCCCAUUUCCUGGCAGAAGAAGGAAAAACAUGCUGAAGGGGCUGCUGACAAACAUCACCCACAGAUGUGCCUCUAGAAAGCUGUUUCUACUAUAAGCGUCAGACAUGCCACACUCUAGAGGUGACAUAUUCAUUUUUUUGAGCAGUGUUUCUCCAAUUAUGCUUGCACAGAUCAUUGAGAUUCCAUAGACAGGAACUGGAUUUAACUCCAAAAU
rnacentral:lncRNA from 1 species